UUUUAUAUCCGAAAUUGAGUUUGAGUAUUCGAAUAAUUCGAGAUAAUUAUUUGAAUGAGAACGGUGAACUCGGAAGUGAGAUCUGAGUCCGUUAAGACGUUUUUGAAAAUUUUGACUUUUUGACGAUGAAUAGUAAAAUACUGCUAUUUCGUCUUUUUGUCGACUUUCAAAAUCUUACGUGCACGUCAUCGAGAAAUAUUCUUAGUUUUUCGAUACGAGUCCAAUAAUGAAAGUUUUUAUUUUUGGAUGACGAGUGAAUAGUAAAUUGUGAUUUCUCGAUAAACGAACCGAGCUCGUUUAUCAGAAUUUCGAGAACGAGCUUGCGUUUUCUAUAUUUAUAUAGAAUUACGAGUAUAAUGAAAGUGAGUAAGAGUUGAGAGGGCGAGUAACGAAGAGUAUGGGUAGUUAGUCGUUAAAACGAGACGAAACGAGAUAUUUAACGACUAACGGGUUAAUAUCCUAAAUAUCCUACCUACCCAUUACUACCCCACCCAACCGCCCAAAACCCCUUUCCCCUCACUAACUCACGUUGAUAUCAGCCACAACACUCAUUCUCUAUCUCUCUCUCACACACUCACACUCAAACACGCCAAACACCAUUUUUAGCUUGGACGGAGGUUUCAAGCUCCGAUUUGAGCACCGAGACGAGCGCCGAUCAUCUUUUCGAUCACGUAUCUAAGUAGGUCAUUUUGGGAAGUAACGACUUGAGGGAGAGAGUGACGUUACUCAUUGAUACAGAGACACAACGAGGUUGAGCUGAUGUGAUGAUGGUGCUGCAAUGAACGGAGUCUCCAGGGUUGUUAAUAAAUAGUUAACCUGUCUAGAAUAUGUCUUCAUACAUAUGUCUAGCUACUUUCCGCUGCAAGAUGUUGUUGAUGUUAUAGUAUGUUAUGUCAUACUUUGAGUCUUAAGAGAAUGGUUGCAUAUGAUGUAUAACUUGAUUAAUGAUAUUAAUUAACUUUUAUGCAGUCUUUCAUAGACUGUUUUCAAUUGAGUAUUAAUGAAUAAAAAUGACGAGUUUUAUUAA